rnacentral:rRNA from 1 species
UACGGGAGGCAGCAGUGGGGAAUAUUGCACAAUGGGCGAAAGCCUGAUGCAGCUAUGCCGCGUGUAUGAAGAAGGCCUUAGGGUUGUAAAGUACUUUCAUCGGGGAGGAAAAACAAAACUAAUAAUUUUAUUUCUUGACGUUACCCGAAAAAGAAGCACCGGCUAACUCCGUGCCAGCAGCCGCGGUAAUACGGAGGGUGCUAGCGUUAAUCAGAAUUACUGGGCGUAAAGAGCACGUAGGUGGUUUUUUUAAAGUCAGAUGUGAAAUCCCUGGGCUUAACCUGGAACUGCAUUUUGAAACUGAAAUACUAGAGUAUCGUAGAGGGAGGUAGAAUUCUAGGUGUAGCGGUGAAAUGCGUAGAUAUCUGGAGGAAUACCUGUGGCGAAAGCGGCCUCUAAACGAAUACUGACACUGAGGUGCGAAAGCGUGGGGAGCAAACAGGGAUUAGAUACC